rnacentral:rRNA from 1 species
UUACAAUGGAGAGUUUGAUCCUGGCUCAGGAUGAACGCUAGCGGCAGGCUUAAUACAUGCAAGGCGAAGGGGCAGCAAUGUCACUGUCGUACGGGUGCGUAACGCGUAUGCAACCUACCUAUCACUGGGGGAUAGCCCGGGGAAACCCGGAUUAAUACCGCAUAAAACAGGGGCACCGCAUGGUGAUAUUUGUUAAAGAUUUAUUGGUGAUAGAUGGGCAUGCGUUCGAUUAGCUAGUUGGCGGGGUAACGGCCCACCAAGGCGACGAUCGAUAGGGGAGCUGAGAGGUUGAUCCCCCACACGGGCACUGAGAUACGGGCCCGACUCCUACGGGAGGC